rnacentral:pre_miRNA from 1 species
UCUUAUGGAUUAGCAAAGAAAGUUCUUUUCUGAGAUGGAAUCUACUUCUGGUGAAGAUGCUAUGAA